GACGAACGCUGGCGGCGUGCUUAACACAUGCAAGUCGAGCGGUAAGGCCCUUUCGGGGUACGACGAGCGGCGAACGGGUGAGUAACACGUGGGUGACCUGCCCUCAGCUCUGGGAGUAAGCCUGGGAAACCGGGUCUAAUACUGGAUAUGACUCCAUGACGCAUGUUGUGGGGUGGAAAGCCUUGUGCGGCUGAGGAUGGGCCCGCGGCCUAUCAGCUUGUUGGUGGGGUGAGGCCUACCAAGGCGACGACGGGUAGCCGGCCUGAGAGGGCGACCGGCCACACUGGGACGUGAGACACGGCCCAGACUCCUACGGGAGGCAGCAGUGGGGAAUCUUGCGCAAUGGGCGAAAGCCUGACGCAGCGACGCCGCGUGAGGGAUGACGGCCU
rnacentral:rRNA from 1 species